CUUGGCUCUCACUGGCAUUGUGAGUGAGGUCAUAGAGGGAGGGGACCAUGGAGAAGACCUCUAGGAGGGCAGCAGUAAAACACGCCAUCGGGAGGCAGGAGAGGACCCUUGAGUCAUGGGGUCCUUGGCAGCUGUCUUUGAGAGCUGAACAAACUAAGGCUCAGAAAGGUGAAUGAAAACUGAUCAAAGAACUUAUUUAGCAAGCUGCAGAAACCAGCUGAAUCCAGCUUAAGCUGAAGUUCAUCUCAAGAUGCAGGGGUGAUUCAGGAAACCCAAUCUCAUGUAUGAACCACAUGGAAGAGAGCCAGGAAUGAAAAGACGUGGGAAGAAGGAAGCUCCAGGGAACUUGGGGAAUGCUGCUUCUCUUUCUUGCUCCUUUUCUCUGUUGCUCAUGGGCUAUCUCUGUAAUUUUCUCUGAAGACGGGCUUUCUCAGCUGCUCAGAACAAAUGGUUGGACGAAUCAAAGUCUCCCACAACUUCCAAAUUCACAAGUUAUCACUCCAACCAUAGGGGAGAUUGCCCUGCUGCUCCUCUUUGCAUGGAUUCCACAUGACCACAGAUGGGACCUGGAUGGACCAGCUUGGGUCUGGGGCUUUCCCCUGGUCUGGUCAAACCUGGUCCACGAGUGGCACCAUGGUGUACACACACUGCGGCUGGACAUUCACUCCUGUAGAUCCCUUCAACUGUGUCUGAUUCUUUGUGACCCUAUGGACUAUAGCCCACUAGGCUCCACUGUCUAUGGGAUUCUCCAAGCAAGAAUAUGGGAGUGGCUUGCAUGCCCUUCUCCAGGGGACCUUUCCCACCCAGGGAUUGAACCUGCGUCUCAUGUCUCCUGCAUUGGCAGGCAGGUUCUUUACAACCUGUGCUACCUGGGAAGCCCAGGAAGGUCAUGAAAAACACUCCAGAAGGAGCCCAUAACAUGAAGUAAAUUUCCUUCCAUUUUACUCAUUGGGUUGACUGAAGCAGGAUUAUCUUCUAGAGUUUCUUUAUCAAGAGGUCAACACUUUUCCUACAAGACUUCAUCUACUUCCCUUCAAGAGAACAGCAAUCCUGGGAUUCGGGCUGGGGGAGAUGUGGGUACUUUUCUAAUUGUGGUCUUUCUACAGAUGGAACCAGCCUUAUACACAAGCAGUGUCAUAUAUUAUUCACUUUUUCUCCCGGUAAGAGAAUUCUAUAUUCCUAUCAUUUGCCCUGUGACUUGCAGUGUCUUCCUGGAGAAGGAAUUACUAGUAUCAAAACUGUGAACAUAUGAUUUGCUUUAUCCAAUGGAACCUUAAGUGAGAGUUACUUAGACUGAGACCAAGCAGAAAUAUUGAGCCAUUGUAAAUGUCAGCCAUGAUUGUUUUCCCUCUGCCAUUAGAAUGGCAUGUCCCUUCAGUUUGGAUCUUGGAAUAAAAAAGACACACAGAGCAGAGCACUGCCACCCUGCAUUUGCCUCUGACAAUAACCCAAGAGAGAAGUGAUCUUUUAAAAGAUAACUCAUCUGAGACUCUCUCUUGAGAGUAGGCCUUUAAAAGGGGUGAGGGUAGGAAGGAGAGGGAGGCAGUAACU
ensembl:lncRNA